rnacentral:ncRNA from 2 species
AUAACAUAAGGCGAUGAGGCUCGCCUUGAACCGCCGUUGUGCUGAUGGCCUCUACCCUUCU